CGGGUGAGUAACGCGUAAAGAACUUGCCUCAUAGUUUGGGACAACAUCUGGAAACGGAUGCUAAUACCGGAUAUUAUGCUUUCUUCGCAUGGAGGAAGUAUGAAAGCUAUAUGCGCUAUGAGAGAGCUUUGCGUCCCAUUAGCUAGUUGGUGAGGUAACGGCCCACCAAGGCGAUGAUGGGUAGCCGGCCUGAGAGGGUGAACGGCCACAAGGGGACUGAGACACGGCCCUUACUCCUACGGGAGGCAGCAGCA
rnacentral:rRNA from 1 species